UUAAAGUUUUUUUUCCCCCCUGGUUCCCGAAUGUUUGANNCCGUCCGUCUUAUUUAAAAAAAACUAUAAAAAAAGUUAAAAAGACAAGUCACGCAUAAAAUAUUAAUCAUGUUUUAUCAUCUAACAACAAUGAAAAUAUGAAUUAUAAAAAAAAUUUCAUAUAAGACGAACAGUCAAAGUUGGACACGGAAAUCUAGGGUUUGCCUUUAUU
rfam:Oryza sativa (indica cultivar-group) chromosome 8, whole genome shotgun sequence.